rnacentral:rRNA from 1 species
AUUGAACGCUGGCGGCAUGCCUUACGCAUGCAAGUCGAACGGCAGCGCGGACUUCGGUCUGGCGGCGAGUGGCGAACGGGUGAGUAAUGUAUCGGAACGUACCAUUCAGUGGGGGAUAACGCAGCGAAAGUUGCGCUAAUACCGCAUAUUCUGUGCGCAGGAAAGCAGGGGAUCGCAAGACCUUGCGCUGAUUGAGCGGCCGAUAUCAGAUUAGCUAGUUGGUGAGGUAAAGGCUCACCAAGGCGACGAUCUGUAGCGGGUCUGAGAGGAUGAUCCGCCACACUGGAACUGAGACACGGUCCAGACUCCUACGGGAGGCAGCAGUGGGGAAUUUUGGACAAUGGGCGCAAGCCUGAUCCAGCCAUGCCGCGUGAGUGAAGAAGGCCUUCGGGUUGUAAAGCUCUUUCGGCCGGGAAGAAAUCGUAUGGGUUAAUACCCUGUGCGGAUGACGGUACCGGCAUAAGAAGCACCGGCUAACUACGUGCCAGCCGCCGCCGUAAAAC